CAUGAAUUCCCCCUCGGCCCCUCCCAGCCCGGAACCUCCCCCGUGUCGCUGCCCAACUGCCUCCCCCGUGCCGCUGCCUCACUGCCUCCCCCACGCCGCCUAGCCACCACCUUUGCUCGUGCCGCCGCCCCACCUACUUCCCCCACGCCAUCGCCCCACCUCCUUCCCCUAUGCCGCCGUGGCGCCAUCGCCCCGAUGUGCUUUCGCCGCAUACCACACCACUAUGAAAGGGCACCAGUGGGGGCAGUGAUACACGGUGGUCCAAGCUCGGGUGGAUGGGUGCUGGAUCCGUUCGCCCCCGGCCAUGACCGCUGCAAUUUGGCCGACAGUGGAUUCUCCCUCUCCCCAUACUCCUGGCCGGAUCCGCCCACUCCGAGCUGUGGCGCUGUUCCUCGGUGCCGCGGCGUGUGUCAAAGGCCCACUGCUGGGGUGGCAACUGGAGGGAAGGAGCGGAGGUGGGCAUGCGGCAUCGACACAAAUCGGAGGAGUGGAGGUGCUACACCUGCAGCUACGGCCAGAUCCAUCGCAGGCGGCCCCGUGCCCCCGGGAGGAGGCAAGAAGGGAUCCCGUCGCGCUGGCCGCCUGGUUCACUGGAGGAGGAGGUCGGGAAUGGGGGGCUCAGGUGGUGCAGCUCAUGUCCGUGCUGCCCAUCCCUCCCCAUCUACCAUGUUGGUGGCUGCAUCAUGCAGCGCCGUCGUGCUCUAUCUUCGACGUUGACGUCCAGUCCGGGCGAUGUGAUUGUGCAGCUCGCCAUCGUCUCUGGUCCUCCCCAGUACCCCUCUCAUCCCCGCCCCCCUGGUCGUUGGAUCCAGAGGUGCUACAAAGCAGCAGCAGUUCCCGAAGACCCUCGUUGCAAUUCGCCAGCACGGUGUUGUGUUUUGCUCCGCGUGCGUUCUUGUUCACGGGGCACAUUUACAUCAAAAAAGCUAGCGAUUCACUGUAUCUUUUUUGAACAUGCAGUGCUGUGGGGGUUGCAGUUUUUGCAUUUUUCAGAUUUUUCUUGCAGUCCCUUGGGAACACAGGUGCAGUGCUGUGGGGGGUGGACAUGCAGUGCACCGGCGACCGACUUGCAUUUCACUGAAAAAAUUAGGAUUUAUUUUUAAAGUCCCAUGUCAUUGUAAUUUGUAUGUGUUUGUGCUGUGUAUUCGCCAUGUCUCGUAGCCCAGGAAUGUAUAGAAGAAAACAACAGUACUUUAUUUGAAGUGCAGCUCACUUGUUUGAUCGCUGCAGUGAUCUUUUC